rnacentral:rRNA from 1 species
GAUGAACGCUGGCGGCGUGCCUAAUACAUGCAAGUCGAACGGAGAUAUUGUAGCAAUAUGAUAUUUUAGUGGCGAACGGGUGAGUAACGCGUUGGUGACCUGCCCCGAAGAGGGGGAUAACAGUUCGAAAGGAUUGCUAAUACCCCAUGUGGUUAUUUGGAUUAGAUGCCUUAUAACAAAAGGAGAAAUUCACUUCGGGAGGGACCUGCGUCCCAUCAGCUAGUUGGUGAGGUAACGGCCCACCAAGGCGACGACGGGUAGGGGACCUGAGAGGGUGGCCCCCCACAAUGGAACUGAACAACGGUCCAUACACCUACGGGUGGCUG